ensembl:lncRNA
ACUUCUCAGUGAGCCUGUGUAGCAGUCCAGAAACACAAAGGUAAGAAUUGUGAGUAUCAGAUUUACUUUUAACCUGCUGUCUGAUACUGGGCAUUUCAUUUAAUCUUUUCUUAAAAAUCUCAUACCUCAUCCUCAAAACAGUUAACAAUAAUGGCUGAUUGGUUCAUGCAUUCCACAAACAUUUAUUAAAUCCCAACUAUACGCCAAGCACUGUAUUAAAUGCUGAGAACAUUUUUUUUAAAGUAAGACUUUUCCAGAUAACUGACAGAAUCCAUGUUAUUUAUUAUAUAACAAACAGAUAAUGUGCUUGAACAAAGCCACCAAACAGGCAGCAUGUGAAUAAAACUAAGGAUUCAUAACACUGUCUGUAUGGUUCAGUCAAGUAAUCAGUACUUGAGUCCAUGUGCCAAAGCGAUGCUGCAAGUAAAAGCAAAGAAUAAGAACAAGUAAAAAAGAUGUUUUAUUUCAAAGAUUAGAAAACUUCCCUCAAAGUGACUAGAACACUUAGAAACAUAGCAAUCUGUUCAUUAAGCAAUGUAAAUCAUUUGAGGAACAUGCAAAGAUAUGGGAUAUUUUAUUCAUGCCCUGAUGUGCGUGUGUGUGUGUGUGUGUGAGACUGCAAGUUCAUUAAUUUAUUGGAUAUAUAUUUAUUGAGCACCUAUUCCAUCUUAACUGAAUAAUACUGGGUAUGAAGAGAUAAAUAAAGCACAGUCCUUGUCUUUAAGAAGCGCACAAUUUAGCCACCAGCCUCGAAAAAAGAAAAAUCCAAGCAGAAAACUAUAAUACAAUACAGUGAGAGCAAUGUCAUAAAUACUCAUAAAAGUAUGAGGCAGGGCUUCUAGAAGUUAUGUGUGGACUGUUUCUAAAGGUAAAGUGGGAAUAUCACCAGUAGGAUAAAAUUCUAGAGAGAGAAAAACCUUUGUGACCUUUCUAAAGUUUUUAUUAGAAUUAGAUUGCUAGUUAAAAACUAUGGUAUUCAAAGCAGGAUAAUUCAGAUACAUAAUGAUAAACAUUUCAGGAUUUUAAAGGGAAUUUCUUAAGAAAAAAGGAUCCUCAAACUACAAUAUCUUGACAUUAUCAGAAAAGUAAGCAGUAUCUCCAGAAGUGGUACAACAGUGACAAUAUAUGUUAUUCUUACUUUCAGUAUGUUUCAGUUGUCUUGGGCAAAUAGGAAGCAUGACACACACACAGACUUUUUUUUCCCAGCCCAUUUAUCUUCUUUCACUAUGUACAUACUUGUAUAGCUUCUAUUUUCAUUGAACCAUAAGAUAAAUCAUAUCUGUAUGACCAUUAAAGGAAGUGGAAAAUCUAUAUCAAUUUAGUGGUUACAUGUAUUAUUCUAGCCAGAGUACAGGCUUUUCAUUACUAAGGGUGAAAAUGUUGAGGAAAAGAAGUAAUACCUCAAUUCCAAAAAAAAAAAAAGUCUUUUUCAGAAUGAGUAAAUGUUCCUAAAAACUGCAUAGAGUUCUUAAUGACAUUAAAUGUUUUUUAUGUUAAACUCAAUAAUGAGGCAGUUACCAGACUACUACAUUUACCAUAAAUCAUUAACAACUAGCCAGAACUGAUACAAUUAUUAAUUUAUUCAACACAUAUACAUUGAGGUCCUGAUAUGUACCAAGUGCUUCCCAGGUACUGUUUGAUUUUUUAUUUUUGUAAUGUUUAUAUUUAGUAAGUUUACCAUUUAUUGAGUGCUUACUAUAUGCUAGUAACUGAUCUGAGAACAUUACAUAUAUUAUCUCAUUUAAUCCCCACAAUAUUAUGAAGUAUCUACUAUUAACAUCUCCAUUUAAUAGAUUAUGAAACUCAUGAGUGGUGAAUCUAGAUAUUUGCCAUAUGGAUUCAUUCUAAAUAAUGAGACCAGUGCCACUAGCACCCAUAGAAAAUCACUCCUGUUACUUUAUAGUUCCCUAGUCACACAUAAUGUUUAUGUUAUUGUUUAUUUAUUUAUUUUUAAGGCCACACCCAGGGCAUAUGGAAGUUCCCAGGCUAGGGGUCUAAGCAGAGCUGUUGCCGCUGGCCUACGGCAGAGCCACAACAACGCGGGAUCCGAGCCGCGUCUGCAGCCUACGCCACAGCUCACAUAGCAAGGCCAGGGAUUGAACCUGCAACCUCAUGGUUACUUGUCGGAUUCGUUAACCACUGUGCCACGAUGGGAACUCCAGCAUUACUGGUUCUUAUUCUACGGCCUCUGGCUGUGAUCAACAGAUGCAGAAAUCAGGAGAUCAACUGAUGGGCAUAGGGACUGUCUGACCCAUACUGACACAUACUACCCUGAGUGGGAUCUUCUGGGCAGCCGGAGUUUUCUAGGAUCCGCUUAUUUCUCAGUAGUAAAUCCUAAUAGGUAAAAAGUAAAAGUAUGGAAGACUACUUUAUAUACUCAAAAAAAAUGGGAUACCUAGAUUGGUAAUAAUAACUUAGUAAAAUUUUGGCCAGGUUGGGACCCUCCUUCUUUAUUGACUACAUGAUUCUCUAGCCUUACAUAGGGAAGUUUAAUCUUCUGGUUAAAAAUGAUGACAAGCAGAUAUUAUUACAGAAACAUUUCAAAGUUGAUGCUAUUUUUAUAACAUUUUCUCAAAUAAAAUUCCAUAUACUUUACAGCUUCCAAACAUACAUUUUUACCUAAAUAUAUGAAUACUUAGUAUCUACAUGCUUUACUAAGUCAUAAUUAGAUAUGAAGAUGGGGAAAGGUGAUUUAAUUCCAGUUUCAGAUGCAGAAUUCUGUCUAAAUACGAAUUUUAGAAAUGUUCAUAAUUUAAGUGGUAGUAAAUAUAUUUGGCAUUACUAGGUUGAGAUUAAAAAUCUUAAAUUUCUCAAAAUAUCCUUGUCCCUUGAGGCACUGCUUUCUCAGUGAAAGUCUCCAACUUCAUAAAUGUGGAAAUUUGGAUUCUCUGAAGGAGAAAAAUACUUCUUGUCAGAAAACUGGUCAUGGCUAGUUCACAGAGUGAAGGAGUCCAAGAUCUUAUUAAUUUUCCUGUGACCGUGCUAUCUGAUUUGCUACAAGUCAUUUAAAAUCUCUAUAUGUCUCAGUUUUGUCUCCCUAUCUAUGAUACCUAAAUAAUAUUAUCAAGAUAACGUGGAGACUAUAUUUCCAUCUUCUCAUAGGGCAUAUGCUAAAGUCCUAAAUCUCAAAGUAUUCAAAUGAUACUACCUGUAUCAAAUGGGUAGAAUGGCACCAACAUCCUAUAUAAUCUUAAAUAACACAUUUAGCACCACAGCUUUUCACUUUUUCAGCUAUAAAACGGGUAUAGACAUGUUUAAAUUUUUGAUUAAAAGUAUAUAUUAGAAUAGAGAGACUAUUGCAUAAGCUAUUAACUUUUCAACAAAAAUUUCAUACACUCCUGGAAGUUCCCCUUGUGGCUCAGUGAUAAUGAGCCCAACUAGUAUCCAUGAGGAUGCGGGUUGGAUCCCUGGCCUCACUCAGUGGGUUAAGGAUCUGGCGUUGCCACCGUGAGCUGUGGUGUAGGUUACAGACAUGGCUUGGAUCCCAAGUUGUGGCUGUGGUGUACGCUGGCAGCUACAGCUCUGAAUCGACCCCUACCCUGGGAACUUCCACUCAUUGAGGGUUUGGCCCUAAAAAGCAAAAAAAAAAAAAAA